ACCCGCUGAACUUAAGCAUAUCAAUAAGCGGAGGAAAAGAAACCAACCGGGAUUACCUCAGUAACGGCGAGUGAAGCGGUAACAGCUCAAAUUUGAAAUCUGGCUCCUUCGGAGUCCGAGUUGUAAUUUGUAGAAGAUGCUUUGGGUUGUGGGUUCGGCCUAAGUUCCUUGGAACAGGACGUCAUAGAGGGUGAGAAUCCCGUAUGUGGCCGAGGCCUGCGCCUGUGUAAAGCUCUUUCGACGAGUCGAGUUGUUUGGGAAUGCAGCUCAAAAUGGGUGGUAAAUUUCAUCUAAAGCUAAAUAUGGGCCAGAGACCGAUAGCGCACAAGUAGAGUGAUCGAAAGAUGAAAAGCACUUUGGAAAGAGAGUUAAACAGUACGUGAAAUUGUUGAAAGGGAAGCGCUUGCAACCAGACUUGGGCGCUGCCGAUCACCCUGAGUUCUCUCAGGUGCACUCGACAGCGCACAGGCCAGCAUCGGUUCGGGUGGCUGGAUAAAGGCCGAAGGAACGUAGCUCCCCUCGGGGAGUGUUAUAGCCUACGGUGCCAUGCAGCCCAGCCGGACCGAGGACCGCGCCUUCGGGCUAGGAUGCUGGCGUAAUGGUUGUAAGCGACCCGUCUUGAAACACGGACCAAGG
rnacentral:rRNA from 1 species